rnacentral:rRNA from 1 species
UACGUAGGGUGCGAGCGUUUGUCCGGAAUUAUUGGGCGUAAAGGGCUCGUAGGCGGUUUGUCGCGUCGGGAGUGAAAACCUCGGGCUUAACUCGGGGCUUGCUUUCGAUACGGGCAGACUAGAGGUAUGCAGGGGAGAACGGAAUUCCAGGUGUAGCGGUGAAAUGCGUAGAUAUCUGGAGGAACACCGGUGGCGAAGGCGGCAUCCUGGACCAACACUGACGCUGAGUGAGCGAAAGCCAGGGGAGCAAACGGG